rnacentral:rRNA from 1 species
GACAGAGGAUGCAAGCGUUAUCCGGAAUGAUUGGGCGUAAAGCGUCUGUAGGUGGCUUUUUAAGUCCGCCGUCAAAUCCCCGGGCUCAACCUGGGAAUGGCAUUUGGGACUGCAAGGCUGGAGUGCGGCAGAGGAGACUGGAAUUCCUGGUGUAGCAGUGAAAUGCGUAGAUAUCAGGAGGAAUACCGAUGGCGAAGGCAGGUCUCUGGGCAUUAACUGACGCUGAGGAGCGAAAGCAUGGGGAGCGAACAGG